ensembl:lncRNA
CAAGUACCACCUAAACGCAAAGCAUCCCUUAGCUAAUGCGGAAGAUGCCGGGCCAAGCAAUGUAGUGCAGGGAAAGAGUCGUUGUCAAACUAUUAUGUUUGAGUGCAGCACAGCUCUAUCAGUACUAACAAGUACAUCUUAUUGAACAUAAUUUGAAUGCCUUCAGCAGAAUUCAAAUGAGCCAUUUUAAUCUAGAUUAAUCUAGAUUAAUUCCAGGAUUACAGUGAGAUUAAUCUAGAUUUAAAAAAUUAAUCUAUGCCCACCACUAAUUUUAACAUACAUCGCAAACCAUAACCCCCCCCACCCCCGGCCACCCUCUUUUGAGCCAGUGCCCCAGACUGCCCACCACAUUUAAAAUGCUCUAGACACACCCCUGCAUGUCAUGUCCUGUCGGCUUAUACCAAUUUUCAUUCGUAUACCUUAAAAGGCAUUGUUUUGCUGAAUGAUAUAUUAGCAGUCACAUGAUAAGGUGUUGCUUGGUUUCACACUAGAAUGAAGUCACAUUAUGUGAAGUCAAUGUGUUACUUUCCAAAUCACCUGACAAGCAAAAUUUAACAAAGCUUCAACAAAUGUUUAGCACUUGCUGGACUUAACCAUGUUUAUAAUAAGUUAAAAGUAUUAUCAGGCUUUUGAAUGAAACUGUGAGCUCAUAGCAUCUCAUCACACACUGUUGCUUUUCAGAAGCUAGUUCAUGAGCAAUUUCCACAUGAUACAUUGUGGUAAAUGAGUUUUCGUGCAGUUCUUUCUCAUGUUAGAUCAGCGUUGACAGGGCAAAAGAGGAGGAACCAAGUUAGUGAUUCUCCAGGAAACAUACAUUUGGUUGGUUAUUGUCUUAAAAGUUCUAUACUAGUAUGAGAGGAACACAACAAACUAACUGUAGCUGCUCUGGAGCGUCACUAUUUCAUUUACUCUGUGUAUUUAAUCAUGUCAGACCUCUCUAAGGCAGGUCACUUUGUAUUUUAUUCCCUGAUGCUGCUUAUUUUCACCGGUUUUGUGAACAAAUUCUCUACGGCGUGUGUAUGAUAAUUCUACAGGAAGAAACACUGAAACACUGACUGUAGUUA